GAGGUUCGAAGGCGAUCAGAUACCGCCCUAGUUCUAACCAUAAACGAUGCCAGCCAGCGAUCCGGCUGUGUUCCUCAAAUGACACGCCGGGCAGCUUCCGGGAAACCAAAGCUUUUGGGUUCCGGGGGAAGUAUGGUUGCAAAGCUGAAACUUAAAGGAAUUGACGGAGGGGCACCACCAGAGGUGAAUGUUGCGGUUCAAUUUGACUCAAGCAGCAGCAAAUCCUACCAGGCCAGGACACAGGAAGGAUUGACAGAUUGAGAGCUCUUUCUUGAUUCUGUGGGUGGUGGUGCAUGGCCGUUCCUGGUUCGUGGAGCGAUUUGUCUUGUUUAUUCUGAUAACGGACGAGAUUCUAGCCUACUAAAUAGACGCUUCGAUCUUUCGGAUCGAGCGUUCUUCUUAGAGGGACAGGCGGUGUUCAGCCGCACGAGGCAGAGCAAUAACAGGUCUGUAAUGCCCUUAGAUGUCCUGGGCCACACGCGUCCUACAUUGAAGGAAUCAACGUGCGCUUUCCCUGUCCGAAGGGGCUGGGUAACCCGUUGAACCUUCCUGUGCUGGGGAUAGGCGGUUGCAAUUCCGCCUUGAACGAGGAACUUCUAGUAAGCGCGAGUCAUUAUCUCGUGUUGAUUAGGUCCCUGCCCCUUGUCCACACCGCCCGUCGCUAUUACCGAUUGAAUGAUUUAGUGAGGUCUUCGGACUGGCGCUCGGAUUGGCCUUCGGGUCGAGCCGGCGUGCCGGAAAGAUGACCGAACUUGACCAUUUAGAGGAAAUA
rnacentral:rRNA from 1 species